AGGCCAUUAGUGCCUACUAUUUAAGAACUCUGACCAUAAAAAAAACUCCCCACUGGGCUUUCUUUUGCUACCUUGCUAGCAUUCAGCCUGUUGGGAACAUUC
rnacentral:snoRNA from 1 species